GGAGGCGGCUGGGUGCUGGUGUGCCUGCUGGACUUCAAAUCCAGGUGUUCUUCGAAAGGGGAACGGUAGGUUCGAUUCCUACACGCCUCCGCCA
rnacentral:tRNA from 1 species